AUAAGAGUAUAUGGGGGAUGCCUUGAUUGAUAAGAGCGAAGAAGGACGUAGUAAUGCUGCGAUAAGCUUCGGGGAGUUGCAUAACAAACGUUAUCACCCGGAGAUUUCCGAAUGGGGAAACCCGAUAGAGUAAACCUCUAUCAUCUUUCACACAUAAGAGGUGGAAGAAGCGCACCUAGGGAAGUGAAACAUCUCAGUACCUAGAGGAAUAGAAACUAAACCAAGUAUUCCGCAAGUAGCGGCGAGCGAAAACGGAGAAGCCCAAACCCAGGAGUAUUUUAUUUUUGGGGGUUGUAGGAUAUAGAAGUCUUAACGAGUAGAGUCAAAAAUUAUAAUGUUAGAAGAAUUAGCUGGGAAGCUAAACCAAAGAGGGUGAUAGUCCCGUAAACGAAAACUUUAUAACUCUAUUUUCUAUAUUCCUGAGUAGUCCAGGACAUCAAAAGCCGGGAUGAAUCUAGCAGGACUAACUGCUAAGGCUAAAUAUCUUAUCAAAUCGAUAGUGAACUAGUACCGUGAGGGAAAGGUGAAAAGAACCCCGAAAGGGGAGUGAAAUAGAUCUGAAACCAUAUACUUACAAGGAGUCGGAGCGGUUGCUUGCAACCGUCACGGCGUGCCUAUUGAAGAAUGAGCCAACGAGUUAAUAUAUGUAGCUGCUUAAACGACUUUGUCGUGGAGGCAUAGGGAAACCGAGUGUGAAAGCGCGAAAUUAUAGUUUCAUGUAUUAGACCCGAAGCUGAGUGAGCUUACCAUGAGCAGGUUGAACAUUAUCGAAAGAUGAUGGGAGGACCGAACCCACGCGCGGGCAACACGCGGGGAUGACUUGUGGUAAGGAGUGAAAAGCUAAUCGAACUCAGUAAUAGCUGGUUCUCUCCGAAACAGUUUUAGGACUGGCGUUAGAUGUUCCCGUUGGGGGUAGAGCACUGGAACGGAAUGAUAGGGGGAAACCUCGCAUUCUGUAUCAAACUUCGAAUACCAACGAUUAAUAAUCUAGCAGUUAGACUCAGGGGGCGAAGCUCCUGUGGUCGAAAGGGAAACAGCCCAGACCUAUACCUAAGGUCCCUAAAUUUAUACUAAGUGCACUUAAGGUGGUUUUGUCUCUUGUACAUCCAGGAGGUUGGCUUAGAAGCAGCCAUCCUUUAAAGAUAGCGUAACAGCUCACUGGCCUAGAGACUUAGCGCCGCAAAUGAUCGGGGCUCAAGUAUAAUACCGAAGGUUAGGAUUCACACAUUAGUGUGAGUGGUAGGAGAGUGUUCUAUUCGCGAUGAAGCUCAAGGCGUAAGCCAGGGUGGAGCGUAUAGAAGUAAGAAUGUUGGCACGAGUAACCACAAGGAGGGUGAGAACCCCUCCCGCCGAAAUACCAAGGUUUCCUCUGCAAUGCUUGUCAGCGGAGGGUUAGUCGGUUCCUAAGUCAAUGACGAAAGUUGAAGACGAUGGACAUAAGGUUAAUAUUCCUUAACUUCUAGGUUGUGCGAUGGAGUGACGGAGAACAUAAGCUAAAGCGUGUCCAUGGACAUGAUGCGUUUCUGAUAAUAAGUCUAGUAUCUUAGGAAAAUCCGGGAUACAUUAAUAGGCGUUUAUUGGAUGAAUAUAACUUUACGGAGUUAUAGACUUUAGUGAAGAGUCUUCCAAGAAAAACUUCUAAGCUUAACUUCCUAGAAACCGUACCAGAAACCAACACAGGUGGUAAGGUCGAGUAGACCAAGGCGAACGAGUGAGCAAUCCUCAAGGAACUCGGCAAAAUAGCGACCGUAACUUCGGAAUAAGGUCCCCCUAACUCUCUUCGGAGAGAAGGGCGCAGCGAAAGACACCCUGCCAACUGUUUAUCAAAAACACAGCUCCGUGCUAACUCGUAAGAGGAUGUAUACGGGGUGACGCCUGACCAAUGCCGGAAGGUUAAAUAUUGGCGGUGCUUAAAUUUUUAAUUUGAGUGCUGACUGAUAUAAGCCCCGGUCAAUGUCGGCCGUAACUAUAACGGUCCUAAGGUAGCGAAAUUCCUUGUCUGGUAAGUUCAGACGUGCACGAAUGGCGUAAUGAGUGGGGUACUGUCUCGAGGAUUAGCUCGGUGAAAAUGCAAUACCGGUGAAGACGCCGGUUACCUGCAGUGGGACGAAAAGACCCCAGGAGCUUUACUAUAGCUUGGUAUUGGAUUUAUGUAGGUACUGCGCAGAAUAGAUGGGAGGCUUUGAUCAUACGAUUUUGGUUGUAUGUGAGCCAACAGUGAGAUACCAUCCUUUAUUUGUGUAAAUCCUAACCUGCAAGGGAAAAACUUGCGGGAACAGUAUCUGGCGGGUAGUUUGAGUGGGGCGCUCCCCUCCUAAAAAGUAACGGAGGGGCCUAAAGGUCAGUUAGACGCGAAUGGAAACCGUGUCGAUAGUGUAAUGGCAUAAACUGGCUUUACUGCGAGGAGUACAUUCCAAGCAGUCGCGAAAGCGGAGCAUAGUGAACCGACAGUUGGUAUUAGAUACUGCUGGAGAUUAACGGAUAAAAGCUACCCUGGGGAUAACAGGCUGGUAUCGCCUAAGCGUCCAGAGCGACGGCGAUGUUCGGCACCUCGAUGUCGGCUCAUCCUAUCCUGGGGCUGGAGAAGGUCCCAAGGGUUUGGCUGUUCGCCAAUUAAAAGGGUACGCGAGCUGGGUUCAGACCGUCCAGAAUUUAAUUUAGAAUUUUUCAGAAAUGGAAAUUAAGUUUUGGACUAAUCUGAACAGUCGAGAGUUAUCAUUAAUUUGAUAAACCUUAACACCAAAUUAUUUAUAUUUAUAUAAAUAAUCGCAUUUUAAGAGAACAUACAAUCUUUGGAUACAAAGAAGAAAAGUCCUGUGUGAAGAAAUAUCACAUAGGCAAAAAACAUAUUAUUGGUCUUUUCGUUUUAAAUACACAAGCAAAAUAUUUGGAUUUAUUCCAUUAUUUGUAUUUGUAGUAAUCAACUCAC
rnacentral:rRNA from 1 species